AACGAACGCUUGCGGCAGGCCUAACACAUGCAAGUCGAGCGCCCUUUCGGGGGAGCGGCGGACGGGUGAGUAACGCGUGGGAAUAUGCCCUUCUCUACGGAAUAGCCUCGGGAAACUGAGAGUAAUACCGUAUACGCCCUGUGGGGGAAAGAUUUAUCGGGGAAGGAUUAGCCCGCGUUGGAUUAGGUAGUUGGUGGGGUAAUGGCCUACCAAGCCGACGAUCCAUAGCUGGUUUGAGAGGAUGAUCAGCCACACUGGGACUGAGACACGGCCCAGACUCCUACGGGAGGCAGCAGUGGGGAAUCUUAGACAAUGGGGGCAACCCUGAUCUAGCCAUGCCGCGUGAGUGAUGAAGGCCUUAGGGUUGUAAAGCUCUUUCAGCUGGGAAGAUAAUGACGGUACCAGCAGAAGAAGCCCCGGCUAACUCCGUG
rnacentral:rRNA from 1 species